UCCAUGUGCGAGACGAACGGCCAGACCCCUCCGCCGAUGCCAGUCAUUGCUCCGGCGGGCACGCGUAACUCCCGACAAGCAUCGACCGAUCCUUCUCCGUCUGCCACUGGCGCGACCGGUCCUACACCUACACCUACACCUACACCUCCGAGAUGACGAUUUGCUUAAGAUCACGGAAGCUUGGGUUGAUGGAGUGCUUGUAUUUAGUUUUUCUUUUGACCUUGUGAAAGUUGUUACCUAUGUAUGAAACUGUGUAAUAUUGAUGAAACUAUGUAUAUGUACGGAUGAAACUUGCUACUAUUGGUAACAUGUAUUGGAUA